GGGAGCGUACGUACCACCGCACCGACCGACCGUCGCUCUGCGGCUACGCCGCACAGCAGUUAUUAUCGGCGGUAUGGUACAGCGGCACCGUAGAAAACCCCGUCACAAUGGCCGCUCAGAAGCACUGUAGAUACGAUUUCGCCACAGAAGAAAAACACUGUAGAUAAUAUGAUAGGGUGGCUCCCUUAAUAAUGGUUACAGUAGUAGUGACCAAACGAAGAAGGCGCUUGGGGAUCUUUGCUUGCUGCUAAAUAAACGAGGGAGGGGGUGGCGUCGGGUUGGGCACCAGAUCCAUCUCCUUGCUCCUCCCUCUUGAUCCCUCCAUGUACAGUUGGGGUACCGGACUGCAUUAUAGAAGGAUAGUUAGAUCUCGCAGCGGGUCGUUGGACAUCAAAUCCAUCUCGCACCGGGCAGAUCUAUCUACCGAUCUAUGAAAAAUAAAAAUGCAAUCUAGUAUGUGAUGCGUCCAUCCGCCGAGCCUAAAAGCUGCUGAAAGCCCUCCUGGACUGAUAAAUAAAGCUAGCAUGGUAGACGCACGCUGGCUGAUUGCCGGCCAGCGCAAAAGGCGGCCCAUUAUUAUUCCAUUCCCCCCCUCCGGCUAGCUCCUCGACAGCGAGAGGGAAGGAAACUGAAGAUAAGGAGAGUGAACGCCCCUGCUAAUUACUAACGGCCCCGCACGCACCAUCGAUAACGUAGGACUGUAUCCUUCUUCCUAGCGUGUCAAGCAUGUACGUAUGUUAUUGUAGGGGCGCACCAUUUAUUGGAGGCGAGGAGGGAGCCGGCACCGUUGGUGUUGGGGUUGAUGUGGGCGGGGAAUGGCAAAGCCCCCGAGGAGGAGACGAAACGGGUGGGGAGGGAGAGGGAGGUGGAUGGGGCCGUGAAUAAUUAAG
rnacentral:lncRNA from 1 species